AGCCGACUCACCAACUACAAGAUCAGGUCUUAUGAUCCAUAAGAAAUUAUGUUCACUGUUUGCUAGUCCCCAUGCGAAUUCGACGAGUUGGUGAGAUUUGAUCCAAGAGAUUGCGACUCACUUAAAGGUAUCUGAUUGAGGAGUAAAUGAAGAGGACCGACGGUGUAAACAGGUGGUAGUGGUAACUCAGACUUGAGUGCAUCCAAAACCUCCAUCUCCAGGGCAUCAAAUGUAUUGAAUAUCAAGGCUGUAGCAUCAUAAGUUCUUCAAGUUUCUAGUAUAAAAAAAUUGAGCAUGGCAUCAUUAGGAUUGGUAGUCCGAACAAAACUAGGGUUGGGAUAUCUUGGCUGGCAUUUGGAUUGCUUGGUGGUGGAAGACCGUCAGGGAUUGUUUCGAAAUGAAAAUCAGCUAAGCCUUUAACCGAAUCUGGCCCUCUUGCAUUUAGUAAACGUUGAUGAUUGAAUUCUGUGUUUACGAAGGUUAUAUGAAAGCCUCUGAAAUGAAGAAUCUUAGCUAGCUUCAUCAUAGAGCUUAUGUGGCUCUGAAUUGGGAUCUCAAUGGUGAGUAAUUGGAGUACAAGUAGAAUAAACUGCCAACAUAAUGGAGAAAUGGUCCAUGAAUUCGACUGCUGGUUUGUCUUAUACAAAUUUGAUCCAAGAGAUAGCGACUCACUUAAAGGAAACUGAUUGAGGAGUAAAUGAAGAUGACCAACAGUGUAAAUAGGCGGCAGUGGCAACUCAGUCUUGACUGCAUCCAAAACCUGCAUCUCUAGAGCAUCAAAGGGAUUGGAUAUCUUGGCUGGCAUUUUGAUUGUUUGGUGGUGGAAGGCCGUCGGGGAUUGUUUCGAAACGAAAAUCAGAUUUGAUCCAAGAGAUUGCGACUCACAUAUAGGAAACUGAUUGAGGAGUAAAUGAAGAGGACCAACUGUGUAAACAGGCGGCAGUGGCAACUGAGACUUGACUGCAUCCAAAACCUCCAUCUCCAGGGCAUCAAAGGGUUGGGACAUCUUGGCUGGCAUUUGGAUUGCUUGGUGGUGGAAGACCGUCAUGUAUUGUUUCGAGAAAUCAGCUAAGCCUUUAAGAGAAUCUUUCCCUCUUGCAUCUAGUAACUAAUGAUGAUUGAAUUCUGUGUUUACGAAAGUCAUCUGAAAGCCUCUGAAAUGGAGAAUCUUUGCUAGCUUCAUCAUGGAGAUUAUGUGGCUCUGAAAUGGUAAGACUAGAAAGCAUCAUUCCCCGAGUACUUGCUUACUGUAACUGGAUUGCAUAGCGUACAUUCCAUUUCAGACUUCUGGCUCAUUCUUUUUACUAGUUUCUUCCUGAUUUUUUCUCAACCACAACAGAAUAUAUUUAGUGCAGAGAAUGAAACACAAGCUACAAAUAAUCUUACACCUAGCAAACACAACAAGUUAAAAGUAAAAGGAAAAGAGGAAACAGCAAAAUUACUCUUAACAGCAUAUUGUCAAGCCCAAUAACACACACAUAGCAGUAUGUUUGAUAUUUCAACUUUUACUACAUUCUAUGUAUGUAUAGU